UACAGAGGGUGCAAACGUUGUUCGGAAUUACUGGGCGUAAAGCGUGUGUAGGCGGUUCUCUAAGUCGGGUGUGAAAGCCCUGGGCUCAACCCAGGAAGUGCACUCGAAACUGGAGGGCUAGAGUAUCGGAGAGGUUGGUGGAAUUCUCGGUGUAGAGGUGAAAUUCGUAGAUAUCGAGAGGAACACCGGUGGCGAAGGCGGCCAACUGGACGAAUACUGACGCUGAGACACGAAAGCGUGGGGAGCAAACAGG
rnacentral:rRNA from 1 species